GCGAGCGCGAGGCAAAGCUAGCGGCAGAAGUGCCUCCGCGCAGAGACCUGUUCUGUGUGUUAAAAAGUGAAGAGGCAAAUUAGCUCGGGGUAUUCAGCAUACGUCUGCCCUUCCGCGAAUAGGAGACCGAGAGAGCGAGAGAGAGAGAGAGAGAGGGACGCACAGAGGAAGAAAUCUAUUUAUUUCCUGCCGAUUUAAAGGUGGCAUGACAAACCUCCCCUCGCCGAGUCUCCUGGUUUGAGUGUGACGGGUUUCGCGCGUGGUGACAGACCUGGCUCGCAGGGCUGUAGGCAGACCCCGCUGAGCGAGAGCUUCAGGAAGAGAGGAACUCGAAAGGACCCUCUCUCCGAGUACUCUGGCCAGCUCUUCUGAAAAAGGGGAACUUUUCCGGGGUGCUGAGAGGAUGAGUGGAUUUAUCACCACGUACUGAGGAUUUGUGGAUGAACACUGACAUUCUCAAGACCUGAUAGCACAGCCUGUCCCCUGUCAUGUCGUGGUUCCUGUGUUUGUGGAUAACCGUCAGCAGUCUGCUUCUGUGCCAAGCCUCUCUCUACGACACCAUCCAGCAUCCCCACGUCCCCCGGCCCGGCCGCAACACCAUUCAGAUCCUGGAGGGGGGCACGUGCGAGGUGAUCGCGGCUCACCGCUGCUGUAAUAAGAACCGUAUCGAGGAGCGUUCGCAGACAGUCAAGUGCUCGUGUCUGCCAGGAAAAGUGGCCGGGACAACACGCAACAAGCCCUCCUGCGUGGACGCCUCCAUUGUAAUUGGGAAGUGGUGGUGUGAGAUGGAGCCAUGUCUGGAAGGAGAGGAGUGCAAGACUCUGCCGGAUAACUCAGGCUGGAUGUGCUCGUCUGGGAACAAGAUCAAAACUACCAGGAAAGGGAUGCCUUCUAGCUCGCCGAGGAUUGCACCGAUACCGACGUUUACACGAGGAUGGAAUAUCGUAUGGCGCAGACCCUCCAAAGGUCUGGGCCCUGACGCAGAACUCGUCCAAAGGCCCUGACGCAGAACUCGUCUUCCAAUCGGAGUCGCUGCUCCAUGAUCACAUGACCUGUCUCACAAGAUGGAAAGAAUCCCAUCCAAGUCUUUUCAGAGCAAAAAGUGACCUGCAGUUAAUGAAAUCACCGCAAAGCUGCUUCACACGUUGAAUGUGAAUUUGAAAAAAAGAAAAAAGAAAUCCAUCUAUCUAUCGUUCUCAGAAAUUGACAACAGCAGGUCUUUUGAUUCAUCCACAGACCUAAACCCAGAGUUCCCCCAUCAGACUGCACACGGCUGUCCUGUCUGUCACAGUGGACUAAAUCAUUCCAUCAAAGAGUGCGCUGACUGGCUCACCUGCGUGAGACGUGACGGAGGACAAGCUUCCCUUGGAGAAACAGAACGCCAUUCUGCUGGCUGCAUGCCAAGGAUUCUUUCUUUCUUUUCUCUCUUUUUUUGAAAAUAACAGCAAGCCAAGGCCAUGAUUGAUUUCCCUACAUGUUCCUCUCCAUGAAGAACCCCCCGCCUCCUUAAACACGCUCAAACACAGACACAUACACACACAUCCUCCAGGCUGUCUCGAGACAGCUUAGCAGACUUAUUUAGAGGGUUAACCCAAUAUCUGAAAACACUGCCCCCCCCCCACCACCACCACCACCAAAAAGGCAAAGUGGUUGAUCCCACCAGUGGAUGACUGAGGAGAGGAUCGUGUUGGAUUAGUGACUCAGUGGAGAUAAUGAGGUGAAUCCAUUUGAGAUGUUACCCACGUUCCCCUGGUCUCACCUGUGGCAGCCGUGGAGGGGAUUGUGCACAGUGCUAGCGUCUCUCGAACUUCCGCACGCCAGCCUGGACCCUCUGCACUCCCUUGGAACGUGCACGCACACACACACACACAAACAUCGCAUACAAUAUACAAGCCUCUGUGUCAAGGGCCAAAGGUCACAUCUUGACCCACUUGCUCAAACUCAGACCUGGUCUCUUUUUAUCUGUCAGCAUGCUCAAUGUACUUUGUUGGAGCCUUAUU